rnacentral:rRNA from 1 species
GACGUAGGGCGCGAGCGUUGUCCGGAUUUAUUGGGUGUAAAGAGCUCGUAGGCGGCUUGUCGCGUCGACUGUGAAAACCCGUGGCUCAACCAUGUGGUCUGCAGUCGAUACGGGCAGGCUAGAAUUCGGUAGGGGAGACUGGAAUUCCUGGUGUAGCGGUGAAAUGCGCAGAUAUCGGGAGGAACACCGGUGGCGAAGGCGGUUCUCUGGGCCUGACCUGACGCUGAGGAGCGAAAGCGUGGGGAGCGAACAGG